rnacentral:lncRNA from 1 species
ACGGUUGGAUAUGGUUGGGUUUCUGCAUAAACAUGUAAUAUCUGUUUUGUUCUGUUAUGGGCCUAUGGGCUUUAUUCUGAAUUUCUGUUCUGGGCUAAGGCAAACUUAUUUUGUUUCUGUGGUUUGAGCUGAUUUAGACUAUGGUUGGGUUAUUUUACACACUGAGUUUUCCCAAACUCACCCCUUAUUUUUCAUCCACGUAGGUAAACCCCAACCAUAGUGGGCUUGGAGCUGUGAGGGAAUUCGGAGUGGCCAUACAUUCUGCGAAUUCCUGUUUUCUUUCGGUGAAUUG